AUUGAACGCUGGCGGCAGGCCUAACACAUGCAAGUCGAACGGAGUGGCGGACGGGUGAGUAAUGUCUGGGAAACUGCCCGAUGGAGGGGGAUAACUACUGGAAACGGUAGCUAAUACCGAAUACUAUCAGAUGAGCCUAGGUCGGAUUAGCUAGUUGGUGGGGUAAAGGCCUACCAAGGAGACGAUCCGUACCUGGUCUGAGAGGAUGAGGAGUCAACCUGGAACUGAGACACGUUCCAGACUCCUACGGGAGGCAGCAGUGGGGAAUAUUGGACAAUGGGCGAAAGCCGGAUCAAGCCAUGCCGCGUGUGGGAAGAAGGUCUUCGUAUUGUAAAUCACUUUAAGUUGGUAGGCGUUACCAACAGAAUAAGCACCGGCUAACUUCGUGCCAGCCGCCGCGGUAAUUC
rnacentral:rRNA from 1 species